ensembl:snRNA U6 U6 spliceosomal RNA
GUGCUUAUUUUGGCAGCACAUAUAUUAAAAUUGGAAUGAUACCGAGAUUAGCGUGGUCCCUGCUCAUGGAUGACAUGCAAAUUUGUGAAGGGUUUCAUAUUUUU